CUCCGUGGCGGGGGUGGAGGAGGUCCCGCAGCGCAGGGAAUUGCCCAGCUUGAGAGACAAGGUGGGAGGUAACGUCUUUUACUGGACCCACCUCUGUAAGCGGGACUGCUGCUCUCUCCCGCCAGAAAUGGGGCCAGUGAAAGCCGUUACCUCUCUCCUAGCCUAGACCCUGACUCUGCUUCAGGCAGCUGCUGCCACACCCCUGCCUCGAAGUGGCUUCCAUCAUAUACAGGGUUUAUAAUCUGGGUUAAGGGCUCUCCACGCGUGCACCCGUACAAAUGGGUGAUUGGUGCUAGACGGAAGAGAAACCUGGCUUUGAUUUCAGUUCCUGAUGUAGGCAUCACCCCUCCACCAGCAGCCUCUCACACGUAGAAACACAAGAGCAGCAGAACCAUCCAGUAAUGCACCAACUACUGUUACAGGUCCCUGGGUAGUUCUAAAAGAUCCUGUUAAACCAACUAAGUCACCAUGAGCAUACACCAGCUGUAAAAUAAUAAAAGGCUAGAGGAUGGUGGUACAAGUGACUUAACAGAUUCCAGCUUCUCCAUAGAUUUAACUUAGGUAGAACUUCCACAUACCUAACUUGCUCAUGAAUUGUGACAGGAAUAUUAAACUCAGAAGCAGUCUAGAUUAGCAUGUGUUUGAUUGAUAGGUUAGUCAGGGUCAGUGCAAUUAGAUAGGUUGUCAUAGGAGUCAGUUUGCCUCCAUUUAAUAAUGGCGACAAAGAGCUUUCUUGCAUUAUUUUUGUGACUGGCCUAAACAACAGAUGCUAUUAACCAUACACUGGAGACGUGCUCUCUACUGGCGAAUGUAUGUCACUAAUAACAAUCAGGAAGGCUCAGAAAAGCAUUUAUCCAAGAGGUAGAUCUGACCAAAUCUCACUCUUUACUCUGAGCUUCCUUAUGUCUGCAACUGAGCAUGCCUGUUCUAACCCCCUUAUAGCAAGGUACAUAAUGUAUAUUUUGCCACUUGACAAUGGUCACAUGUGGGAUGUAGAGAUUAUGUCUGAUGCAAUCUACCAGUGCUGCUGUUUCUCUGUAGUCUCCUCUGACUCCAGCCAGAUGUUAGGUUCUAAACUCUUUAGAGGGAAGGAGUGUAUUUUUGUUCUGUGUACCAGACUUAGUAUAUGGCUACAGCUCUUAGAUACUAGCACAUAAAUAAAACCAAAGGGGGGCGGGGGGGAGAACAGGGAGCAUAAAAGACACCUUUCCCCUUAAGCUAGUAUAGUUACAAAGAAAGCACUUCAUUUAGGCAAAAGCACAAGGACUUGUUUAUGUGAAGUAAAAAGGAGUAUAGAACAAAGCUGACUAGGUUUGGUUUUUUUUAGUUUUGUAAUUUUUUUCGCAUGGAAUAGAUGGACAGGAGUCUUGGGACCUCCUCUGUAUCUGAGGUGUAAGCUGUGUGGGACUGAAGGCCUGAGUCCAGCACUCCCAGGGCAUCACUUCCUUGUGCCUACGGAUGCUAAUCGAGGUCCAGGACCCUACUGCACCAGAUGCUAUGCAGACAGAGUAAGAAGACAGAGUCUACCCCAAACAGCUCAUCAUAUCAUGACAAAGACAAAAAAAAGGCAGAUGAAAAGCAAAGUGGUUGGGCGGAACGACACAACAAGAAAAGCACUCAGACUUCCUUCAGCAGCUCCAGCCCCAACCUUAACCUGAUUGAAGGAUGGCUACUAACCCCAGCCGUGAGACUAUGUCCUGCCACAAGCUACAUGGUCUCUGCACCAAUGGAACACCAUAAGGUCUCAGUGGGAAAAUGCAGGGAGUUCUGUUUUUCCUACUAAAGAACCAUGCAACAAGAGAACAUGUACAAGAUAGACUGGAAAAAUGGCACAAUGGUAUCACCUGAGUUUCAUCCAAUAUGGCCUCAGAAAAUGUACUCUAUUGACAUGUGCCAUAAUAUGUUCAAAACUAUCAAGCAGAAUGUUUCUGGAUAGUAGUAGCUCAUACCAGUUACAACCUGGUACCUAUGCAAGUAUUACUGUGCCAACUACUGGCACCUUUUGGAAACAGUGGAAGCAAGACAACGGAGCUGCAAAAACUCAACAAGCUAUUUUGAACAGAGAUAAACAAGAACACUGUGGGGCUGAAUCCAGCUGACCCACUACACCCUUUCACAGGCAAGAAGCCAGUCAACCCACUAUGCUAACAUUUUCACUUGACCCAGGUGACUUAACAGACAGCAGCUCCAAUUAGCUCAGUCCAGCUAUUAAAGAUAUUAGAGCAUCAAAUGCAAUCCUCCCCAUUUAUUAAAGUGGCUUUGAAAAUUAAAUGGUUUCAGAUGAGAUCAACUACAGUGGAACAUAUAUAUCAGUGCACCAAAUCCUCCUCUGCAACCCAGAUUUUGAUGUGCCAAUUCAAACUCUAAAAAGACUACCUUAUUAUUCCUGCUACUCUGCAGCCCCUCCAUAAGCAUGCAGAGACAAGGCAGGUGACAGGUAAAACCUUGUCAGCUGCUUUUGCAUUCAAAGUAUAAUUUAAAACAGUGGUUCUUAACCUUACUGCAGCCCGCAUCCCCCUUUGGUUCUCAAAAUAUGUUCUCGAACCCC